CCGGAGGAACGGUCGGCCGGAUUCCGACUACCAGCACUGGAGGUGGAAGCCUAAAGGAUGUGAGCUUCCAAGGUAAACAAAAAAGACCAUGUUACGUUAUGCAAAAUAACUUCUUUUUUUUUUUUUGAAAACUUUUAAGUUAUAAAUUUAUAAUCAGACAAUAUUUUUAAUAUUUAUAUUCAACAUAUUAGAUCUAAUAAGAGUAUAAUAAAGGAAAUUAAUAUAAUUUCCUUUCCAAUGCACAUACACUCGCUGUCACGGUCCGAUAGGUGACGAAAUUUCUCCAAUGCCUUAUUGAUAGUUUGACGUUUUAACUCCGUAAUUUUCGGAAGAUCACGUAGGUUUUAAUAUAAUGUUAGUACGUUACUAAAUCUGAAAGAAUCUUUUAUCCAUACGAUUCAUUCUUUGUAUUAUUAUUUUUUACCAUGCCCUUCUUAUUUGAAGUAUUUUGACAUAUGUCAUAGUUAUAGAAUUGAGUUCUUAAAAACAUCCGAGUUUUUGAUGCUGGUAUAUUUUCAAUUUUUAAAUUAAAAGACUUGGGGUUGCUCGUUGGGGACUCGAGGAGUCCGACGAGGGGUUCGAUUAAAGGCGAAGGAUCGGACUGUAAGUCUCGGGGAGGAGCAAGCUUGGCAAAAUGCUUGGAUUGGUAUUCCGCUGUUAAGUCUGGGAGACUUGUCCGCGUAAGGGACUCGAGAAGGCUGGCUCGGGUGUGCGACACUUGAGCGCCUCGCGAAAAUUUUUGAGGCGAAAAAGCUAACCCCUGCGUUAAAAUAAUAAUGAUCCACUAAAGUUAAGUUAGUAGUUGAAUAGUAUGACCUAGCUGAUAAAAAUAAUAAAAAAACAGAUCUAAUAGCGAAAACUUACCAGCAUUAAGUACUUAGUAUUUUUAAAAAAACAAUAGUAGAACUCGGUAGUUAUACGUGAUAAUUAUAUAAAGUGAUUAUUCUAUCUACUUUUUUGGAUAAAUAGUUUGUGGAUUUUUUUUUUUUAAUCUUAAAGGUACGGUGGGACGGAGAUGUUAGAGAGGUGGCGAGGGAAACGAGUGGUGAUCGUGGGAGAUUCUCUCAAUAGGAACAUGUGGGAAUCACUCGCAUGCAUCCUCUAUUCCUCGAUGCAACACAAAUCACGCGCCUACGUAAAUGCGAAGAGCCAUGAGUACAAGAUGUUCCGAGCCAUGGUAGUUGACAUUUUUCUCCCGUUUAAACUUCGAUGUUCGCCUCGAACUAAAUUACCUUAUUUUCGUGCUUCCUCUUCUUGCAAGGAUUAUGAUUGCACUGUGGAGUUCUACUGGAGUCCGUUCCUCGUGAAGCUAGAGCAGAGGAAGGAUCAUUCCAAGGUGCUCAACCUCGACGAGCUCCCAGACACGGCCCAGCGAUGGAUAGGCGCGGAUGUCAUGGUUUUCAACUCCGGUCACUGGUGGACUCACCGCGGCAAGAUGAGAGCGUGAGUAGCUCCAUUACAAGCCCUAGGAUCACUAGAUAAUGAUAUUAGCAGAACUGAUAUUACUAUUAAUGUAAAUAAAUAAUAACAAUAAUAAUAACAUAGACAAGUUCUCAGAUGCGUAUGGAUCUAAACAACAUUGACAUGUUCAACUAAAAUACCUGUGCUUGAGCAUUUUCUGAUGCGCAAAUGAUGCAGCUGGGACUGGUACGAGCGACGGGGAAGGGCGGCGGAGAUGGGGGAGUAUGAAGCCUUCAACAGAGCAUUCAGGACCUGGGCCCGAUGGGUCGGGCAGAGCGUCGACACGGCCCACACCAGAGUCUUCUUCCGGAGCAUCUCUCCAGAACACAAACUGUAAGUAGCCCAGUGGCCCAUGAACGAGACAUGGCAUCAUCUUCUAUACAUUUUCAAGUUCAUCACAACC
rnacentral:lncRNA from 1 species